rnacentral:tRNA from 1 species
GCCCUUCGCUUACACCGAAGAAAUAUCUGUGUAAAUCAGAUUAUUUUGA